GACGAACGCUGGCGGCGUGUCUAAUACAUGCUAGUUGAGCGCUGAAGGUUGGUACUUGUACCGACUGGAUGAGCAGCGAACGGGUGAGUAACGCGUGGGGAAUCUGCAUUUGAGCGGGGGACAACAUUUGGAAACGAAUGCUAAUACCGCAUAAAAACUUUAAACACAAGUUUUAAGUUUGAAAGAUGCAAUUGCAUCACUCAAAGAUGAUCCCGCGUUGUAUUAGCUAGUUGGUGAGGUAAAGGCUCACCAAGGCGAUGAUACAUAGCCGACCUGAGAGGGUGAUCGGCCAAAUUGGGACUGAGACACGGCCCAAACUCCUACGGGAGGCAGCAGUAGGGAAUCUUCGGCAAUGGACGAAAGUCUGACCGAGCAACGCCGCGUGAGUGAAGAAGGUCUUCGGAUCGUAAGACUCUGUUGGUAGAGAAGAACGUUGGUGAGAGUGGAAAGCUCAUCAAGUGACGGUAACUACCCAGAAAGGGACGGCUAACUACGUG
rnacentral:rRNA from 1 species